rnacentral:lncRNA from 1 species
UUUCCCCCAUUGGUCAUAUCCACAACUAUAAAGUCAACCAAAAAUUCCAACUCCUCAAUUCGGACAAUUGCAUUUUCCACCAUUCCAACUGGUUUCUUCCUAGACCCAUCUGCCACUGUCAAGAUCACUUUGGUAGGCUUUAAUUCUAUCCCUCUAAUCUUCUUAAAAUCACUGAGAGGCAUCAGAGUAAUGCUUGAUCCUGAACAAAUCAAAGCUUCUCCUACAUCUACAUCAUUUAUGACGCAAGGAAGAGUCAAAGCCCCUGAAUCCUCCAUUUUCUACAGAUGGUUCUUCUUCCUGGGUUUAACCAGCUGCUCCUGAUUUUCUUCAUAACCCAGAUCAAUUAACUUUCCCAGAUAGUAUUUGAUCCUCUCAUCAUAUUCAGAAGUUUGCGAAGAUGUUCUAGGAUUAAUGGGUACCUUAUUAAGAAUAUUAUGGAGUGAUUCUUUAAUACCUUCCUUCUCUUUUUCUCUUUCUAAUUUCUUCUCUUCGCAUCUCUUAUGCUUAUUAUGAAUCAUCUCCUUCUCUCCGUCCUCACUGCUUCCGAUCUCAAUUGUUUCCUCCUCUCGUUUCCUUUCUCUUGUUAUAACAACUUUGCACUCCUCUUUUGGGUUGACUUCAGUGCUAGCCUAAAAUCAUUUUUUCUCCGUGGUUUCGACCCUCUUACACAACUGUCCAAUCUGUGUUUCUAGUGAUCUAAAACUGGCCUGAUCACUCGCUUGUUGAGACUCAUAAACUUUCAAAAAUUUAUCAAAUCUGUCAGUUAGUUCUUUGACUGUCUCAGUCAAGCUGCUUACCUGCUGCCAUAAGGGGGAAGGUUGUUGCUGCCGA